rnacentral:rRNA from 1 species
UACGGAGGGUGCAAGCGUUAAUCGGAAUUACUGGGCGUAAAGCGCACGCAGGUGGCUGAGUCAGUCGAUUGUGAAAGCCCUGGGCUUAACCUGGGAAUUGCAGUCGAUACUACUCGGCUCGAGUAUGGGAGAGGGCAGUGGAAUUCCCGGUGUAGCGGUGAAAUGCGUAGAUAUCGUAAGGAAGACCAGUGGCGAAGGCGGGUCUCUGGACAGUUCCUGACGCUGAGGCACGAAGGUCAGGGGAGCAAACAGG